ACAUACGACCACAAACGUUAGCAGAAAUCAGUAUCCCGUCCGAUCUCCCUCGACAAUUUAACGAGCGCUGGAUUAGUUGUUGGGUCGGUGACGACUAGCGAAUACCUGGUGUUGUAUGUC
rnacentral:rRNA from 1 species